UUUAAAUACAACCAUAAUUUUUCGUGCUCAACUUUGAUCAUCCGUCUUAUUUAAAUUUUUUUAUAAUUUAUAUUUUUUAUUGUUAUGAGAUGAUAAAACAUAAUGUUUUUAAUCUUUUUUAGAAAAACAUUAAAUAAGUCGGACGAUCAAAGUUGUGCAUGAAAAAUCAUGGUUGCACUUAAA
rfam:Oryza sativa (indica cultivar-group) chromosome 11, whole genome shotgun sequence.